rnacentral:rRNA from 1 species
UACGUAGGUGGCAAGCGUUGUCCGGAAUUACUGGGCGUAAAGGGCGUGUAGGCGGUCUAACAAGUCAGGUGUGAAACCCCCGGGCUUAACCUGGGGCAUGCACUUGAAACUGAUGGACUUGAGGGCAAGAGAGGAAAGUGGAAUUCCUAGUGUAGCGGUGAAAUGCGUAGAUAUUAGGAGGAACACCGGUGGCGAAGGCGACUUUCUGGAUUGACCCUGACGCUGAGGCGCGAAAGCGUGGGGAG